UGACUGCUAUCGGAUUGAUACUAAGCCAUGCGAGUCAUUGUAGCAAUACAAGGCAUACGGCUCAGUAACGCGUAGUCAACCUAACCUAUGGACGGGAAUAACCUCGGGAAACUGAGAAUAAUGCCCGAUAGAACACUAUACCUGGAAUGGUUUGUGUUCCAAAUGAUUUAUCGCCAUAGGAUGGGACUGCGGCCUAUCAGUUUGUUGGUGAGGUAAUGGCCCACCAAGACUAUUACAGGUACGGGCUCUGAGAGGAGUAGCCCGGAGAUGGGUACUGAGACACGGACCCAGGCCCUAUGGGGCGCAGCAGGCGAGAAAACUUUGCAAUGUGCGAAAGCACGACAAGGUUAAUCCGAGUGAUUUGUGCUAAACGAAUCUUUUGUUAGUCCUAGAAACACUAACGAAUAAGGGGUGGGCAAGUUCUGGUGUCAGCCGCCGCGGUAAAACCAGCACCUCAAGUGGUCAGGAUGAUUAUUGGGCCUAAAGCAUCCGUAGCCGGCUCUGUAAGUUUUCGGUUAAAUCUGUACGCUUAACGUACAGGCUGCCGGGAAUACUGCAAAGCUAGGGAGUGGGAGAAGUAGACGGUACUCGGUAGGAAGUGGUAAAAUGCUUUGAUCUAUCGAUGACCACCUGUGGCGAAGGCGGUCUACCAGAAC
rnacentral:rRNA from 1 species